UACGUAGGGUGCGAGCGUUAAUCGGAAUUACUGGGCGUAAAGCGUGCGCAGGCGGUGAUGUAAGACAGAUGUGAAAUCCCCGGGCUCAACCUGGGACCUGCAUUUGUGACUGCAUCGCUAGAGUACGGCAGAGGGGGAUGGAAUUCCGCGUGUAGCAGUGAAAUGCGUAGAUAUGCGGAGGAACACCGAUGGCGAAGGCAAUCCCCUGGGCCUGUACUGACGCUGAGGAGCGAAAGCGUGGGGGAGCAAACAGG
rnacentral:rRNA from 1 species